GAAAUAAAACUCAGUGAUUUAACUAAACUACUCUCUUUUAAACAGGACCCUCCACUUUUCCACUAGUUUGUCCACCGGUGAAAAGGAGAAGCCAGCCAAGAACCACAGCAGCUUCUGGCUACCUUGAUCAGAAGGUUGAUGAAGGCAAUGAAACAAAGAUGGAAAAACACAUCACACAGCAAUUACAAAGAUAUGCUAAUGCUCUGCACCAAGUGGCAGCUACAUGCUUGAGACCAACACUGAAAAUCAGUCAUGGAAUCACUGCAUAUCUGAACAAGGGCCACGAGA
rnacentral:lncRNA from 1 species